AGAGUUUGAUCAUGGCUCAGAUUGAACGCUGGCGGCGUGCUUAACACAUGCAAGUCGAGCGGUAACAGGCGUAGCAAUACGUGCUGACGAGCGGCGAACGGGUGCGUAAUACAUGGGAAUCUGCCCUUUGGUGGGGAAUAACCCGGCGAAAGCCGGGCUAAUGCCGCAUGAGAUCUUUGGAUGAAAGCGGGGGAUCGUAAGACCUCGCGCCGAUGGAUGAGCCCAUGUCGGAUUAGCUAGUUGGUGAGGUAACGGCUCACCAAGGCGACGAUCCGUAGCUGGUCUGAGAGGACGGCCAGCCACACUGGGACUGAGACACGGCCCAGACUCCUACGGGAGGCAGCAGUGGGGAAUAUUGGACAAUGGGCGAAAGCCUGAUCCAGCGACGCCGCGUGUGUGAAGAAGGCCUGCGGGUUGUAAAGCACUUUCGAUGGGAACGAAAUGUGCCGGGUUAAUACCCCGGUAAGCUGACGUACUCAAGAGAGAC
rnacentral:rRNA from 1 species